AUUGAACGCUGGCGGCAGGCCUAACUCUUGCUAGUCGAGCGAGCGGCGGACGGGUGAGUAAUGUAUGGGGACUGCCCGAUAUAGGGGGUUAACUACUGGAAACGGUGGCUAAUACCGCAUACUAUCGGAUAACCCAUAUGGGAUUAGCUAGUAGGUGGGGUAUUGGCUCACCUAGGCCACGAUCUCUAGCUGGUCUGAGAGGAUGAUCAGCCACACUGGGACUUAGGCUCGGCCCCGAUUCCUUCGGAGUCAGCAGUUGGGAAUAUUUCACAAUGGGCGCAAUCCUGACGCAGCCAUGCCGCGUGUAUGAAGAAGGCCUUAGGGUUGUAAAGUACUUUCAGCGGGGAGGCGUUACCCGCAGAAGAAGCACCGGAAAACUCCGGGACAGCAGCCGCGGUAAUAC
rnacentral:rRNA from 1 species